rnacentral:rRNA from 1 species
CCCAGACUCCUACGGGAGGCAGCAGUGGGGGAUAUUGCACAAUGGGGGAAACCCUGAUGCAGCGACGCCGCGUGGGUGAAGAAGUAUUUCGGUAUGUAAAGCCCUAUCAGCAGGGAAGAAAGAAGACGGUACCUGACUAAGAAGCCCCGGCUAACUACGUGCCAGCAGCCGCGGUAAUACGUAGGGGGCGAGCGUUAUCCGGAUUCACUGGGUGUAAAGGGAGCGUAGACGGCCGUGCAAGCCAGGAGUGAAAGCCCGGGGCCCAACCCCGGGACUGCUCUUGGAACUGUGCGGCUGGAGUGCGGGAGGGGCAGGCGGAAUUCCUGGUGUAGCGGUGAAAUGCGUAGAUAUCAGGAGGAACACCGGCGGCGAAGGCGGCCUGCUGGACCGCGACUGACGUUGAGGCUCGAAAGCGUGGGGAGCGAACAGGAUUAGAUACCCUUGUAC